UAUUGGUCAAUGGGCGGGAGCCUGAACCAGCCAAGUCGCGUGAGGGAGUAAGGCCCUACGGGUCGUAAACCUCUUUUGUCAGGGAGCAAUUGGCGCUACGUGUAGCGUUAUCGAGAGUACCUGAAGAAAAAGCAUGGGCCACCUCCGUGCCAGCAGCCGCGGUAAUACGGAGGAUGCGAGCGUUAUCCGGAUUUAUUGGGUUUAAAGGGUGCGUAGGCGGAAUGCCAAGUCAGCGGUAAAAUCGCGGGGCUCAACCUCGCUCCGCCGUUGAAACUGGCGUUCUUCAGUGGGCGAGAAGUAUGCGGAAUGCGUGGUGUAGCGGUGAAAUGCAUAGAUAUCACGCAGAACUCCGAUUGCGAAGGCAGCAUACCGGCGCCCAACUGACGCUGAAGCACGAAAGCGUGGGUAUCG
rnacentral:rRNA from 1 species